rnacentral:rRNA from 1 species
UUGAAACACAGGUUCCUAUACAAUCACCAAAGUUAAGCAAUAUUGAGCUUGGUCAGUACCUGGAUAGGUGGCUGUUUGGGAAUACCAGGUGGUGUAA